CACGAAAGUUGGCAGCACCCGAAAGCCCUUUAUGGGGACCAAGGUGAGGUCAGUAAUCAGGGUAAAGUCGUAACAAGGCAUCCGUAGCGGAAGCUGUGGAUGGAUCACCUCCUUUCUGGAGUA
rnacentral:rRNA from 1 species